rnacentral:tRNA from 1 species
CAGAAGAUAAUUUAAUAAAAAUGCUGGUUUUGGGGAUCAGCAAUAAGGGGUAAUCCCUUUCUUUUGA